CUCUUGGAUGGACCUGCGGUGCAUUAGCUAGUUGGUAAGGUAACGGCUUACCAAGGCAAUGAUGCAUAGCCGAGUUGAGAGACUGAUCGGCCACAUUGGGACUGAGACACGGCCCAAACUCCUACGGGAGGCAGCAGUAGGGAAUCUUCCACAAUGGACGAAAGUCUGAUGGAGCAACGCCGCGUGAGUGAAGAAGGGUUUCGGCUCGUAAAGCUCUGUUGGUAGUGAAGAAAGAUAGAGGUAGUAACUGGCCUUUAUUUGACGGUAAUUACUUAGAAAGUCACGGCUAACUACGUGCCAGCAGCCGCGGUAAUACGUAGGUGGCAAGCGUUGUCCGGAUUUAUUGGGCGUAAAGCGAGUGCAGGCGGUUCAAUAAGUCUGAUGUGAAAGCCUUCGGCUCAACCGGAGAAUUGCAUCAGAAACUGUUGAACUUGAGUGCAGAAGAGGAGAGUGGAACUCCAUGUGUAGCGGUGGAAUGCGUAGAUAUAUGGAAGAACACCAGUGGCGAAGGCGGCUCUCUGGUCUGCAACUGACGCUGAGGCUCGAAAGCAUGGGUAGCGAACAGGAUUAGAUACCCUGGUAGUCCAUGCCGUAAACGAUGAGUGCUAAGUGUUGGGAGGUUUCCGCCUCUCAGUGCUGCAGCUAACGCA
rnacentral:rRNA from 1 species